GUGAACGCUGGCGGUAGGCCUAACACAUGCCAGUCGCACGGCAGCACAGUAAGAGCUUGCUCUUACGGGUGGCGAGUGGCGGACGGGUGAGGAAUACAUCGGAAUCUACUUUUUCGUGGGGGAUAACGUAGGGAAACUUACGCUAAUACCGCAUACGACCUACGGGUGAAAGCAGGGGAUCUUCGGACCUUGCGCGAUUGAAUGAGCCGAUGUCGGAUUAGCUAGUUGGCGGGGUAAAGGCCCACCAAGGCGACGAUCCGUAGCUGGUCUGAGAGGAUGAUCAGCCACACUGGAACUGAGACACGGUCCAGACUCCUACGGGAGGCAGCAGUGGGGAAUAUUGGACAAAGGGCGCAAGCCUGAUCCAGCUAUACCGCGUGGGUGAAGAAGGCCUUCGGGUUGUAAAGCCCUUUUGUUGGGAAAGAAAAGCAGCAGGUUAAUACCCCGCUGUUCUGACGGUACCCAAAGAAUAAGCACCGGCUAACUUCGUG
rnacentral:rRNA from 1 species